UACGUAGGGGGCAAGCGCUGUCCGGAUUUACUGGGCGUAAAGCGCGUGUAGGCGGUCAGGCAAGUCUGCUGUGAAAGCUCGCGGCUCAACUGCGAGAGGUCGGUGGAAACUGCCUGACUAGAGGACGGUAGAGGGGGGUGGAAUUCCCGGUGUAGUGGUGAAAUGCGUAGAGAUCGGGAGGAACACCAGCGGCGAAGGCGGCCCCCUGGGCCGCUCCUGACGCUGAGACGCGAAGGCCAGGGUAGCGAACGGG
rnacentral:rRNA from 1 species